rnacentral:rRNA from 1 species
CACGUAGGGUGCGAGCGUUGUCCGGAAUUAUUGGGCGUAAAGAGCCCGUAGGCGGUGUGUCGCGUCGGCCGUGAAAACCUGCAGCUUAACUGUGGGCUUGCGGUCGAUACGGGCAUCACUGGAGUUCGGCAGGGGAGACUGGAAUUCCUGGUGUAGCGGUGAAAUGCGCAGAUAUCAGGAGGAACACCGGUGGCGAAGGCGGGUCUCUGGGCCGAUACUGACACUGAGGAGCGAAAGCGUGGGGAGCGAACAGG